UACGGGGAGGCAAGCGUUAUCCGGAUUUACUGGGUUUAAAGGGUGCGCAGGCGGAUAUGUAAGUCAGUGGUGAAAUCUCUGGGCUUAACCCGGAAAUUGCCAUUGAUACUAUAUAUCUUGAAUGCUGUGGAGGUAAGCGGAAUAUGUCAUGUAGCGGUGAAAUGCUUAGAUAUCUGGAGGAAUACCGGUGGCGAAGGCGGCAUCCUGGACCAUUACUGACGCUGAGGCGCGAAAGCUAGGGGAGCAAACAGG
rnacentral:rRNA from 1 species